rnacentral:rRNA from 1 species
AACGAACGCUGGCGGCAGGCUUAACACAUGCAAGUCGAACGCAUCCUUCGGGGUGAGUGGCAGACGGGUGAGUAACGCGUGGGAACGUGCCCUUCAGUUCGGGAUAACCCAGGGAAACUUGGGCUAAUACCGGAUACGUGCGAGAGCAGAAAGAUUUAUCGCUGAAGGAUCGGCCCGCGUCUGAUUAGCUAGUUGGUGGGGUAAUGGCCCACCAAGGCGACGAUCAGUAGCUGGUCUGAGAGGAUGAUCAGCCACAUUGGGACUGAGACACGGCCCAAACUCCGACGGGAGGCAGCAGGGGGGAAUAUUGGACAAUGGGCGCAAGCCUGAUCCAGCCAUGCCGCGUGAGUGAUGAAGGCCUUAGGGUUGUAAAGCUCUUUCGUCCGGGACGAUAAUGACGGUACCGGAAGAAGAAGCCCCGGCUAACUUCGUGCCAGCCGCCGCCGUAAUAC